GGGAAUGUGGCUUAGUGGUAGAGUGCUUGCCUAGUAUGCAUGAAGCCCUGGGUUCAAUUUCUCAGUAUCA
rnacentral:tRNA from 1 species